AUUGAACGCUGGCGGCAGGCUUAACACAUGCAAGUCGAGCGGGGUGAUGGUGCUUGCACUAUCACUUAGCGGCGGACGGGUGAGUAAUGCUUAGGAAUCUGCCUAUUAGUGGGGGACAACAUCUCGAAAGGGAUGCUAAUACCGCAUACGUCCUACGGGAGAAAGCAGGGGAUCACUUGUGACCUUGCGCUAAUAGAUGAGCCUAAGUCGGAUUAGCUAGUUGGUGGGGUAAAGGCCUACCAAGGCGACGAUCUGUAGCGGGUCUGGGAGGAUUAUCCGCCACCAUGGGACUGAGACACGGGCCAGACUCCUACGGGAGGCAGCAGUGGGGAAUAUUGGAUAAUGGGGGGAACCCUGAUCCAGCCAUGCCGCGUGUGUGAAGAAGGCCUUAUGGUUGUAAAGCACUUUAAGCGAGGAGGAGGCUCUUUUGGUUAAUACCCAAGAUGAGUGGACGUUACUCGCAGAAUAAGCACCGGCUAACACUGUGCCAGCCGCCGCAGUAA
rnacentral:rRNA from 1 species